rnacentral:rRNA from 1 species
CACGUAGGGCGCGAGCGUUGUCCGGAAUUAUUGGGCGUAAAGAGCUCGUAGGCGGUUUGUCGCGUCUGCUGUGAAAACGCGAGGCUCAACCUCGCGCCUGCAGUGGGUACGGGCAGACUAGAGUGCGGUAGGGGAGACUGGAAUUCCUGGUGUAGCGGUGAAAUGCGCAGAUAUCAGGAGGAACACCGGUGGCGAAGGCGGGUCUCUGGGCCAAAACUGACGCUGAGGAGCGAAAGCGUGGGGAGCGAACAGG